GGAAGGGAAAACACUUAGUACUCUUCUCUUUUUGUAUAUAGUUAAACAAACCGACACACAACAAUCUUCUUCCAACCUUUCCUUCAUAAAAAAUUUAGAAAAAGAAUGACAGUAGUUUAUUAGUAAGUCAAUGCUGUCAUUCUUCCAGACUAUUUGAAGGUUACGUAUUACAUAGAAGGGAUAUUCACAGCUUUAUAAAGUUCAAAUUCAGCAUAUCAAAGAUAAGAACACACUCAAGGAGCAAGAAUAACUAAAUCAACAGCUGACCAAAAAGAUAAACAACAUAUGGGAGUUGUUCAUGUUGUAUAGCUAUAGGAUGUAUCAAAGUCAAACAUAUUUUAAAAACAGAAAGUUUGACUUUUAGUAGGACUUCAUUGUAAUGGAUCCUUAUAUUAAUCGUACAAAAUAUCCUACUAUACAUCAUUGCUUUGCUAAUUUUUUGUCUUGGAAUAAUGUAGACAUCAUUAUUGAAAAGGAUGUGUCAUGGAUAGCCGGAAACAAUCAGUCUAUGUAUCCAAUUUUGUAUUAACGUUGUGAUGAUUUGGUGGAGAUACACAUGAGGUCACGUGAAUUAUAAAUAAAGGAGAAGAAGAAAAUAAUUUGUACAUAUCGAAUAAAUAUGAAAAUUGUGCGAAGGAAGCUGAGAAGUGUGAUUUUACUCUGCACGAAUAAUGUGGGUUGGCUCGUCUUAGCCAAGAUUUAUAUAAUGCUCGUCAUCAUUUAUAGCAUUUACCUCAUAGAUCCUUUCGUCAUCCGUAAAGAGAUUGGAAAAACCUUUGUUAAUAAAACUUCCGAAAAAACUCCUUUGAUUUUGGUUUGGACACACUUACAAAAACAAUAUAUAGACUGGUUCUACAAUGUUCCUAUUGAUGAGAAAGAAUACAGAGAUCUCUUGAGUCUCAAACAAGAGAUUUCUCCCCUCAAUUGCCCAUCCUCAUGCUCCAUAACUUUGAACCGAAAUCUCAUAGAGUCCUCAGAUGCUGUGCUUAUAUCACUCUAUGAUAUGAAUAUCUGUCUCUAUCUCAACAAAUUUAUGGCAGAUGUCGUUGACAUUCUUACUUUUGGUACUCUUCAUUCCUUUCUCUGCUGGUUUCCAAGCUCAAAUUUUGGAGCAAAUAAGGAUGUUUUCCUCUUCUUUCAUGAGCCACCAAAUAUUUUAUUCUCUCAUAUGAAUAAAAAUUGGGCUUUGCAAUAUUUAGAAAAUCGAGUUGACUAUACAAUUUCCUAUCGAAGGGACUCAACUAUCUUUACGCCCUACAUAUCUUCUCAGCUCAAAUUCAAAUCCCAUCAUAACUCAUCUAAUCCAAGUAUAAAGAGUUUAUCAGCGAAAUCAAAGGUUCAUGUUAAGAUUGCAUGGAUGGUAUCCAAUUGCAACACUGCUAGUAAAAGAGAAGAAUAUGUAGCAAUUUUGAGCAAAUAUGUCGAGGUUCUUGUCAUCGGAAAAUGUGGAGAGGACAUUUGCUCUUUAUUGGAGUACUCCGUUAAUGAUUGCAUGGACCAUCUUAUUUCAGAAGGCUUUAAUUUUUAUUUAUCUUUUGAAAACGAAAUUUGUAGUGAUUAUUUGACUGAGAAAUUUGAUAAAACUCUUAGUCACGACAUUGUGCCCAUUGUUAUGUCUGGUUCCUUGAAUUCCAUUCAAGACAUACUUCCACCCAAAUCCGGAUACAUUGAUGUAUCAGAUUUUGAAAGUCCAGAGGAUUUGAGUAAUUAUUUACUCUCCAUGACGAAGGAGCAAUGGAUAUCCUUUAUGGAAUGGAAGAGGAAUGGGGCAAAAUUGAGAGAUAGUGAUAUUGGAAAUAAGAGGAUGUUUGGCUCUCAUUCCAAUUAUGUUUGCAAACUUUGUCAUUUUGUGUCACAAGAAACGGAGCUCAAAGCAGCUUACAGCAUAAGGGAUUCAUUUAUUACGUGGUGGAAUGCACAAAUAUGUUUAUACUCAUGGAGAAAUUUGAUGUAGGCUUUAAUUACUUUAUUUAGUCUCAUCUCAUCUGUCUAAAUUGGGAUACAAUUAAUAUGCACAAGUCAUACUGAAUCAAUUGAAGUUUGAUAUCCAUGAUGCCUUCGAUUUUAUUCCAAUAUUGUUACGAAGUGACCUAAUUUCUACCUUGUGAAGGGGAGGAAUAUUAUGGGCAUGAGCAAGCUACAAAAAUAUAUUUUCUCCGAAAGGCUGUGAAAAAAAUGGCAAAUGCUCCGAAGAAUUUUGACUGCGUUAGAAACAUACGUAGUACGUACCAAGGAUUAACCUUGCUACGUAUGCGCAUGUUAUUUUUUUAAAAGUAUUAUUAUUAUUCAGGGAGUUGUAUUAUUUGCCAUAAGAUGGCGCUACUCUGCAGAUUUGCUUACAAAUGAAUAUAAAUAAACAAGGAAUUAGUUCUACUUA
rnacentral:misc_RNA from 1 species